UACGUAGGGUGCAAGCGUUAAUCGGAAUUACUGGGCGUAAAGCGUGCGCAGGCGGUUGUGCAAGACCGAUGUGAAAUCCCCGGGCUUAACCUGGGAACUGCAUUUGUGACUGCACGGCUAGAGUACGGUAGAGGGGGAUGGAAUUCCGCGUGUAGCAGUGAAAUGCGUAGAUAUGCGGAGGAACACCGAUGGCGAAGGCAGUCCCCUGGACCUGUACUGACGCUCAUGCACGAAAGCGUGGGGAGCAAACAGG
rnacentral:rRNA from 1 species